GACGAACGCUGGCGGCGUGCUUAGCACAUGCAAGUCGAACGGAAAGGCCUUUUCGGAGGUACUCGAGUGGCGAACGGGUGAGUAACACGUGGGUGAUCUGCCCUGCACUCUGGGAUAAGCCUGGGAAACUGGGUCUAAUACCGGAUAGGACCGCACUUUAGUGUGUGUGGUGGAAAGUUUUUUCGGUGUAGGAUGAGCCCGCGGCCUAUCAGCUUGUUGGUGGGGUAAUGGCCUACCAAGGCGGCGACGGGUAGCCGGACUGAGAGGUUGGUCGGCCACAUUGGGACUGAGAUACGGCCCAGACUCCUACGGGAGGCAGCAGUGGGGAAUAUUGCACAAUGGGCGCAAGCCUGAUGCAGCGACGCCGCGUGGGGGAUGACGGCCUUCGGGUUGUAAACUCCUUUCGCCAGGGACGAAGCGUUUUGUGACGGUACCUAGAGAAGAAGCACCGGCUAACUACGUG
rnacentral:rRNA from 1 species